rnacentral:rRNA from 1 species
UGGGGAAUUUUGGACAAUGGGCGAAAGCCUGAUCCAGCAAUGCCGCGUGUGUGAAGAAGGCCUUCGGGUUGUAAAGCACUUUUGUCCGGAAAGAAAUCCUUGGCUCUAAUACAGUCGGGGGAUGACGGUACCGGAAGAAUAAGCACCGGCUAACUACGUGCCAGCAGCCGCGGUAAUACGUAGGGUGCAAGCGUUAAUCGGAAUUACUGGGCGUAAAGCGUGCGCAGGCGGUUUGCUAAGACCGAUGUGAAAUCCCCGGGCUCAACCUGGGAACUGCAUUGGUGACUGGCAGGCUAGAGUAUGGCAGAGGGGGGUAGAAUUCCACGUGUAGCAGUGAAAUGCGUAGAGAUGUGGAGGAAUACCGAUGGCGAAGGCAGCCCCUGGGCCAAUACUGACGCUCAUGCACGAAAGCGUGGGGAGCAAACAGGAUUAGAUACCCUGGUAGUCCACGCCCUAAAACGAUGUCAACUAGUUGUUGGGGAUUCAUUUCCUUAGUAACGUAGCUAACGCGUGAAGUUGACCGCCUGGGGAGUACGGUCGCAAGAUUAAAACUCAAAUGAAUUGACGGGGUCAUAGCUGAUUCC